GGGGAAUUUUGGACAAUGGGGGCAACCCUGAUCCAGCAAUGCCGCGUGUGUGAAGAAGGCCUUCGGGUUGUAAAGCACUUUUGUCCGGGAAGAAAUCCUUUUCGAUAAUACCGAAGGGGGAUGACGGUACCGGAAGAAUAAGCACCGGCUAACUACGUGCCAGCAGCCGCGGUAAUACGUAGGGUGCGAGCGUUAAUCGGAAUUACUGGGCGUAAAGCGUGCGCAGGCGGUGAUGUAAGACCGAUGUGAAAUCCCCGGGCUUAACCUGGGAACUGCAUUGGUGACUGCAUCGCUGGAGUAUGGCAGAGGGGGGUAGAAUUCCACGUGUAGCAGUGAAAUGCGUAGAGAUGUGGAGGAAUACCGAUGGCGAAGGCAGCCCCCUGGGCCAAUACUGACGCUCAUGCACGAAAGCGUGGGGAGCAAAC
rnacentral:rRNA from 1 species